ACAAAUUGUAGAGGCGCAAAUCCGAUAAGUACUUUUUCUGAGUGGAGAACGAUGAAGGAAAAGGAAAGGCGUAUUUGCCGAAAUCAAUUAAGCGUCAUCUUAAUUGGUUGGGGUCGUUACCGAAAGGGACGACACUGUCGAGGCGGCAACUUGCAAAAGUUUCUCAUAAAUUAACCGCUUCGGAGUGCUACUGUUAGG
rnacentral:ncRNA from 2 species